GGGCUAGGAAAUUAAAAAUAAUAAGUUAAUUGCCUGAUUAGAAUAAUUUUCCGUUACAUGUGAGCCCGAGUGUGUUUGUGGCUGAGUGUCAUAAACGAUAUCUAAACGGCAAAAGCUCUCGGGGACUUGUUAUGGGGUUUCGCCGCUGGGCUGGUGCGGUUCUGACUAUCUCAUAAAUUAGUCUUGUGACAAACGAUGACAGUGCGGAUUGGGUUGUUGCUCUGGACAAACAGUGUCACCCACGACCACACACCCUACAUGCAACAUCGAUUAAACUUUGACAAAGUUGCGAAAAUAUUGACGAACAGGCGACCUUGGCGGUGACAGUCAGUGACGUCACUCUGGCACUGGCUGACACAAAGAAAUAGAAUGUAGAAAACCUUUCAUUUUCAUGGGCAUACGGUGCACCAAAGUCGAAAAACAGACCAACUGACCCGCAAGCCAAUGUCAAUGAUGCACUAAAUCUUGCCAGAAAUUCCUCGCCUACAUCUGCCUUUGUAUAUAUCAGAAUAAUAGAAUCGGAAUAUAGAUGCAUACAUAUAUGUUUGCUCGAUACGUUCAAUUUCAGUUUCCCAUAGAGCGAGUAAAAGCUCAAAGCAAAACAAACCGACAACAGACCGUAUAUUUACAAACUAUACUGUAUGCGAAAAUUCUGUAUAUAUAUAUAAAUUUAAAAUCAAGAAAACAAAAGUGGGAUGGCGUAGAGGAAAGGAAUUGCUUUUUUACUUUCAUUGACAAGCCUUCUCUAUAUAUUUUCCUAACAGAAAUAAAGUGUACUAAGAAAACUCAA